rfam:Glossina morsitans morsitans, isolate Yale, WGS project CCAG01000000 data, contig: ctg10004173
GUUACCUAAAAUACUCUUCUUCUGUCAUCCCAGUGCUUGACUACUUGGAUCCAGAAAACUUAAUUUUAAAUGAAUACAUCAGGCUGUUGUAUAAUAAGAACUGGAUUCCAGUGUCAAGCACUGGAAUGACACCCUUCCGGUGGGAAUU